AAAAAAUACCCAAACCGACCUACCUCACUUUUCAUCUCUCUUUUUCUCUACCAUAAUUUCAAUACAUACACUCUGCCUACGGCUACUCUGGGCUCGGCCCAUCCACAACCUCCGGAGCCGGGUCGGGCCAGGAGAGGAGCGCGCGUUCGGGAGAAGUACGUCGCGGCGGCGGUGGGCGAAGAUACUAAUCCGAAAGAAAAGAGCACUGCUGCUGUUGUAACUGUAUGGAUGAACUACUUGUAUUCUCACAAGAGCAACAUGUACUCAGACAUCUCUUACUAUUUGCUUUUCUCCAAGGAUACAGAAUUUUGGAACUCUCUCUCUGUUGCCUCCCAAGCUGCUGUUUGUGUUUAUUGCCAUAUUCCAUAGGCAAUGAAGUAAACAAGAGUAAUUCAGGAACCAAAUCCAAGGAAGAAAUUGCUUCUGGUAUGCGUGCGGUGGAGGUCUUGUCUUUAGAUUUGAGGAACUCAUGUAUAAGAUCCAAGAAAUAAAAGCAAAGCUGAACAAAGUGAAAUGAAGGUUCGGGAAAUAUGCCAUGACAUUAAAAUGUUGGAGUUUGCAAAGAAGCAUGUAACGGCUACAAUUCAGCCCUUCAUCAUCUAACCAUGCAAGGUUUGACCCUAAUAUCCUUUUAUGUUUGCACAAGGUGGUUCCUCAGGGUUUUUAUGGUUUCUUGCCAUUAGGCUUGUUAGAUUGAAAAUUUAUAGAUUGUAAUAUGCAAAAGAUUAAUAUCUCUGUCAAUAAAAACAAAAUAAAAAAAAUCUGUUAUUAGGCAGCAAAAGUAAAAGCAGUUGCUUACAGUUGAUGUGCUACUGGCUUUGUUCUAGGAUACUUGUCCCGAAAAAGAAGUGCUAGGAUAGGACAAUUGAAGGUGCCUUUUUAUGAUCUCACACUAUUCAAAUAAGAUAUUCUCUCUCCCACUUGACAAUAAUCUUAUGCAGCAACUUGGUUAUUGUAAAUUUAGAAAUGAGAUAUAAAUUGAAGACA